GCACCUUUCCCUCCGCUUUCGAUAGGUUGCUCCAUCAUGUGACAAUGGCGAAUUUCGCGGUUUCCUUCGCCAUCUGACAACUUUUGGCGCCUUCCCUUUGCCGUACUGGGAGUCCUCCAUCACGUGACGAGGGCACGCUCUGGUUUUCGCUAAGGCGUUUUUUGAGCGGCCAUUACCACGUGAUGCAAGGCAAGCGUCAGAGGCGGAGCCUCCCUACGGCUGCGACAUUUUGCGCCUGCGCGGCCGCCAUCUUACGCCCGUCGCCCUGAGUACGUUAGCGGAAAUGGCUCCGAGAGGCUUUGACGCAUGUGUACCUUUUUAGUGGCGGUAUCUCGGCCGGGGAUUUUCGGGCUCCAGUGGAGGUGGCUAUGCUCACCCCAUCUCCCUUGAGAGGCACAGAAGGGUCAGGUUGGCCAUCCGCAGGCGUAGUUGCUAGGAAGGUUUGACAGAUGUCCGCCUGUUGAUUCAGACGUUCCCAGGAUUUGGAGCAAGAAGAGCAAGGAAGGCCAGGCGCGGUGGCUCACGUUUGUAAUCCCAGCACUUUGGGAGGCCGAGGCGGGCGGAUCACGAGGUCAGGAGUUCGAGACCAGCCUGGCCAGCAUGGUGAAACCCCGUCUCUACUAAAAAUACAAAAGAAAAUUAGCCGGGUGUGGUGGCACAUGCCUGUAGUCCCACCUACUUGGGAGGCUGAGGCAGGAGAAUUGUUUGACCUGGCAGGCGGAGGUUGCAGUGAGCCGAGAUUGCGCCACUGCACUCCAGUCUGGGCGACAGAGCGAGACUCUGUCUCAGAAAAAAAAAAGAGCAAGGAGGUGUUGAAAAUGGGUUUCCUGGCUGGGCGUGGUGGCUCACGCUUGUAAUCCCAGCACUUUGGGAAGCUGAGGUGGGCGGAUCACUUGAGGUCAGGAGUUUGAGACCAGCCUGGCCAACAUGGUGAAACACCGUCUCCACUAAAAAUAGAAAAAUUAACUGGGUGUGGUGGAGGGCGCCUGUAAUCCCAGCUAAUCAGGAAGCUGAGACAGGAGGAUCGCUUGAACCCAGGAGGCGGAGGUUGCAGUGAGCCGAGAUUGCUCCAUUGCACUCCAGCCUGGGCGAUAGAGUGAGACUCAGCCUCAAAAAAAAAAAAAAAAAAAAAUUCGCCAGGUGUGGUGGUGUGCGCCUAUAAUCCCAGCUACUCAGGAGGCAGAGGCACAAGAAUGGCUUGAAUCACUUGAACCUGGGAGGCAGAGGUUACAAUGAGCCGAGAUGGCACCACUGCACUCCAGCCUGGGCGACAGAGCGAGACUCCGACUUCCCAUCUUAAAAAAAAAAAAAAAAAAAAAAAAGAAGUGUAAAGAUGUGAUUAUGUGGCAGGGGGUAAGGGUUAAAAAGAAAACAAGAACAAGUUUUCCUCUGCUUAGCCAGCUUACUUCAAGGACAGUUAUAACACUGAAAAGUCGAGGCCAAAGGAAUGGGCUCCAGACAGCCUCCUCCGGAGCAAAGUUGAAAAGAAAAAUUCCUUUACUGUCUCUCCUUUUCUGAACCAUUAAAUAUGACUGUUUGCCAAUGGUUGUAUUUAGUAAGAUUUGUAGACUCUGUUUUUCUUUUGACACAGCUGCAAGGCCAACAGCUGUGCAAAGCCACAAGUUAUGCUAAGUCAGCAGUUAUGCUAUAGAUUACAUGACCUGUGACUGUAUCAUUAACUGCUUUUGUUUUGCUUCUGUAAGUUUGCCUAUAAAAACCACACUCAGUCUUUGUUCAAUGGUCAGCUUUUCAGAUACAAAUCCACUGAGCCGGUGUACAUCUAAAUAAAUCCUCCUGUUUCCCGUGUC
rnacentral:lncRNA from 1 species